AUGUUACUCCCUCCGUUCGGAAUUACUUGUCACAAAAAUGGAUGUAUCUACAACUAAAAUACAUCUAGAUACAUUCAUUUCUUGGACGAGUAAUUCCGAACGGAGGGAGUACGUU
rnacentral:pre_miRNA from 1 species